rnacentral:rRNA from 1 species
GAAGGGAGCUUGCUCCUGGAUUCAGCGGCGGACGGGUGAGUAAUGCCUAGGAAUCUGCCUGGUAGUGGGGGAUAACGUCCGGAAACGGGCGCUAAUACCGCAUACGUCCUGAGGGAGAAAGUGGGGGAUCUUCGGACCUCACGCUAUCAGAUGAGCCUAGGUCGGAUUAGCUAGUUGGUGGGGUAAAGGCCUACCAAGGCGACGAUCCGUAACUGGUCUGAGAGGAUGAUCAGUCACACUGGAACUGAGACACGGUCCAGACUCCUACGGGAGGCAGCAGUGGGGAAUAUUGGACAAUGGGCGAAAGCCUGAUCCAGCCAUGCCGCGUGUGUGAAGAAGGUCUUCGGAUUGUAAAGCACUUUAAGUUGGGAGGAAGGGCAGUAAGUUAAUACCUUGCUGUUUUGACGUUACCAACAGAAUAAGCACCGGCUAACUUCGUGCCAGCAGCCGCGGUAAUACGAAGGGUGCAAGCGUUAAUCGGAUUUACUGGGCGUAAAGCGCGCGUAGGUGGUUCAGCAAGUUGGAUGUGAAAUCCCCGGGCUCAACCUGGGAACUGCAUCCAAAACUACUGAGCUAGAGUACGGUAGAGGGUGGUGGAAUUUCCUGUGUAGCG